rnacentral:rRNA from 1 species
AUGAACGCUGGCGGCGUGCCUAAUACAUGCAAGUCGAGCGCACAGACGAGGAGCUUGCUCCUCUGACGUUAGCGGCGGACGGGUGAGUAACACGUGGAUAACCUACCUAUAAGACUGGGAUAACUUCGGGAAACCGGAGCUAAUACCGGAUAAUAUAUUGAACCGCAUGGUUCAAUAGUGAAAGACGGUUUUGCUGUCACUUAUAGAUGGAUCCGCGCCGCAUUAGCUAGUUGGUAAGGUAACGGCUUACCAAGGCAACGAUGCGUAGCCGACCUGAGAGGGUGAUCGGCCACACUGGAACUGAGACACGGUCCAGACUCCUACGGGAGGCAGCAGUAGAGAAUCUUCCGCAAUGGGCGAAAGCUUGACGGAGCAACGCCGCGUGAGUGAUGAAGGUCUUCGGAUCGUAAAACGCUGUUAUUAGGGAAGAACAAAUGUGUAAGUAACUAUGCACGUCUUGACGGUACCUAAGCAGAAAGCCACGGCUAACUACGU